UGACCAGGGGGCCGGGACGUUCUGACUGUUGCAGGGUCGGAGUGACCUACGGGUACAGGGAGUGCCUGCGAUGAGGGCCGGGUCAGGGUAAAA
ncrna:unclassified sequences ivy-DE RNA